rnacentral:lncRNA from 1 species
UGCGCCUCCCGCUGCCGCCGGGCUUUCGGUGGCUGACUUCCCUCCUUCAGAGAGCGCGGAGUCGGGCGCCUUUGUCAGCCCUGCCCCCCGCCGGGACUGUGCGGCUCUCCUCAGCCCCACAGCCGCAGCCUGUGACCGUCCCCUCAUGGGGCUCGGCGCUGGCCACGGCCCCCAGGCCGUUCAGACGCGUAGUCAGAUCUCUGCUAGGAGGCAAAGUGUUAGCCACGUGCUGCCCGGCGCCCAGCUGAUGAGGAGGUGUUAAAUAGUAAGCCGUCGGGUAAGGCAGCAGCUAUGCCAGGCCGAGUCUCUGCUACCACGGCUGAACCGGAUUGACAAAUGAAAAUCCAUGUUCAGCGAGGAAUUGUAUGAGACCAGGAACUAGAAACAAGGAUGGGCCUGGCUGUGCGGAGGAGCAGAGAAGAAUAAGACCUGGAGAACAGAUCCAGUGCAGCUUUCGGAGGGACAGAAUGCACAGAGCGGGGUGAUGGCCCCUUUUCACCUUUGGGUGAGCUGCGUCUCACGUGACUCAGAUUUCAAGCCCAUUGAUCCUGAAGCAUUAUCACCAGCAACUAACUGCUGAUUACUACACAAAUGGAGUACCAGGAUGAGGAGAGAACCAAAGCAGACUGGACUGGGAAUGGAGAGUGGUGCUCACAGGAACGAAACAAGAGAAGGAUAGAGAAGAUUCAAAGCAGGAAAAGAAGAAACAAACAAGGCAUAAAACAGACGCAGGGUAGAACUGUCUACAAGAAAUGGCUUUCGUAUUUGGACAUGAUACGGUACUGCAGCGUUCCAGAACUCCUCGCUUUCCUCGGCUACAAGGUCCGUCAGCACCUAGAAACUGUUCUGUCGAUGGUUCUGAAACACUGGCUCAAAUCAAACAGAAGAAAAGAAAAGAAGGCAUUAAAAUUCAGGCAAUGUUUCAAGAGUUGA